AGAGCAGAACUAGCAGUGCUUUUGUAUGACGGGUGAAAAGUUAGUGUGAAAAGUUGCAAGCGAGACAAGUGCCAAGUUGGCAUCAAUGCACAGCCGCGAGCCCGGCAGACAGGAAGCGGAGCGUCGAACUUCCUGCUUGGCUCCGAGAAGCGAGGGGCACGUUCAUUCACAAGCGCGUCGGCCAAACGUUUGCUAUUUAAGGGAGCGGGCGGGGUUGAGCGCGGCACAACAGGAAACACGCGGAGCCGAUCAAACGUCGGCGGAGAGCUCAACGACAAAGUGGGAAGACUUUUGAGACCUGCCCCGAGACUCUGAUCCAAUUGAACGAAGUACAACAUCGCAACAAACGAGCGUGGCGCGGCGUGGCGGCGAUCGGCACGUCCGGCUCGUGGCGCAGAGGUUCUCGGUGACGAGCUUCCGGUGUGGAGCGGCGAGUUCGCCCGUCGCCUCUGCGCUCAACUCUUUGACUUUAUUUGAGUUUUUUUCCUCGCUUCACUG